rnacentral:hammerhead_ribozyme from 1 species
GUCGCUGAAGAAUUCCACAAUAGGACGAAACGGCCGUCCAGUAC